UAUUAUAAAAUGCAACUUAUAGAACAAAUCAAUCAAUGCAACCAACAAAUGUUUAGGGAUACUAAUGAAGAUAAAGAACUUAGGAUAUAAUCACAACAACACUUUUAACUACAUGAUAUAAGUAAUGCAAAACAAAACCAUAAGGUUAAAGAGCAUAUUGUAGGUUAAAAAACUGUUUUAAAAAAAGGUAGAAUCGUUUGUGAAAAUACUCUAUAAUACCAUAAAAUACCAUAUUAAAAUGUUUUACGAAGUGCAAGGGCACAAAUUUGAAAGAAAAUGUGUCUGUUUUCCCUCUUCCGCUUUUCUUUCUAACCACCCCGGUGACGUCAGUGCAGGGACUUAUCUGACAGACGCGCGCUGUUUACAGUGGGGCAGAGGAGCUAAUAGCAGAACUGGUUGUUAGUUUUGGCGUAAUUUAUCAUCAUCGUGGUAUAUUAUUGCGUUUAUGGAAACUGCACAAACUCCAGCCUGUCAACAGAUCAAGUCCACAAGUUUCCUCUUGCUAUUUUGGUUCGUGAAAUGGGAUGAAUCCGAUAAGAGUGAUAGCUGACGCAAACGGCGAGAAACACUCCUGGAUACGUCGGAGAUGCAGCUCGAUGAGCUGUACACGGUAAGACAACUCGUUUUUCGUUUAUGUUUGUCAACUUUCAAGUUUGUAAGCAUUAUUCUUUGAGUAAUUUGAAGCAACGUGAUGUGUUUACUUGAGUAGCCGAUAGCACGGCUGCUAGCUUGUAUUGUUAAGCAUAUUAAAUAUACUUUUUAAAGCGUGUAAAAAUGUACACAUAUGAUAAGACGGCUAGUAGCAUCAGUUUGCUAAUAUAAUAAAUGUCUUGCAUAGUUACAGCGUUGUGACUUUGUUUGCUUUGGGGUGUGUUUAUUAGACUUUGGGAGACAGAUUAUGACUCGGAGCUGAAGGCUUUCUCUCCACUGGCCUCUCGGUCAACUGUGCUUCACUUUGGCUCACAGAGUAACCUCAACUAAGAAUAUAUGCAUCAGCCCUCACUGCGUGUCUGACGGUGGACUACUGGAGGUCUUCACAGGCUCGACGAGAAUGCAGAAGUGGCCACUACAUUUGCUCUCCUUUCUAGAUCCUUCCAGCGGGUUUACAAGGAUGAAGCUGUCGGCUUCUUUUUACACAGCAUUCACAAUUUAACACACAUUAAAGACAUAAUGGUGUGGCACCCACAUAAACGUUGGCCAACUUACUGAAAAAUAAUUUUAGAUUUACUUUUAAAUGGGUCAGAUGAUAUAUUUUCCUUUCAGUAUACACACACUCACACAGAUAUUUAUACAUAUAUAAAGAGUAAAAAUGCUGGGUAUUAACACUGCUUAUGAUUUUGUGCUAUAUAAAUAAAACUUGAACUUGAGUUGCAUUUAGAAUUUGAA